UAGGAAAUAAUAUAGAGGAAGUAUGGAGGAUUUUGAUUCCUUUUGUGUAGGUUCGAUUCCUACUUUUCUAA
rnacentral:tRNA from 9 species